rnacentral:rRNA from 1 species
GACGAACCGUGCGAACGUUGUUCGGAUUUACUGGGCGUAAAGGGCGCGUAGGCGGCCACCGCAAGUCGACUGUGAAAUCUCCGGGCUUAACUCGGAAAGGUCAGCCGAUACUGCGGGGCUAGAGUGCAGAAGGGGCAACUGGAAUUCUCGGUGUAGCGGUGAAAUGCGUAGAUAUCGAGAGGAACACCUGCGGCGAAGGCGGGUUGCUGGGCUGACACUGACGCUGAUUGUGCGAAAGCUAGGGGAGCGAACGGG